rnacentral:rRNA from 1 species
AGUGAACGCUGGCGUAGGCCUAACACAUGCAAGUCGAACGGCAGCACAGUAAGAGCUUGCUCUUACGGGUGGCGAGUGGCGGACGGGUGAGGAAUACAUCGGAAUCUACUUUUUCGUGGGGGAUAACGUAGGGAAACUUACGCUAAUACCGCAUACGACCUACGGGUGAAAGCAGGGGAUCUUCGGACCUUGCGCGAUUGAAUGAGCCGAUGUCGGAUUAGCUAGUUGGCGGGGUAAAGGCCCACCAAGGCGACGAUCCGUAGCUGGUCUGAGAGGAUGAUCAGCCACACUGGAACUGAGACACGGUCCAGACUCCUACGGGAGGCAGCAGUGGGGAAUAUUGGACAAUGGGCGCAAGCCUGAUCCAGCCAUACCGCGUGGGUGAAGAAGGCCUUCGGGUUGUAAAGCCCUUUUGUUGGGAAAGAAAAGCAGCAGGUUAAUACCCCGCUGUUCUGACGGUACCCAAAGAAUAAGCACCGGCUAACUUCGUG